rnacentral:rRNA from 1 species
AGUCGUAACAAGGUCUCCGUAGGUGAACCUGCGGAGGGAUCAUUACACAAAUAUGAAGGCGGGCUGGAACCUCUCGGGGUUACAGCCUUGCUGAAUUAUUCACCCUUGUCUUUUGCGUACUUCUUGUUUCCUUGGUGGGUUCGCCCACCACUAGGACAAACAUAAACCUUUUGUAAUUGCAAUCAGCGUCAGUAACAAAUUAAUAAUUACAACUUUCAACAACGGAUCUCUUGGUUCUGGCAUCGAUGAAGAACGCAGCGAAAUGCGAUAAGUAGUGUGAAUUGCAGAAUUCAGUGAAUCAUCGAAUCUUUGAACGCACAUUGCGCCCUUUGGUAUUCCAAAGGGCAUGCCUGUUCGAGCGUCAUUUGUACCCUCAAGCUUUGCUUGGUGUUGGGCGUCUUGUCUCUAGCUUUGCUGGAGACUCGCCUUAAAGUAAUUGGCAGCCGGCCUACUGGUUUCGGAGCGCAGCACAAGUCGCACUCUCUAUCAGCAAAGGUCUAGCAUCCAUUAAGCCUUUUUUUCAACUUUUGACCUCGGAUCAGGUAGGGAUACCCGCUGAACUUAAGCAUAUCAAAAGUCG